rnacentral:rRNA from 1 species
UACAGAGGGGGCGAGCGUUGUUCGGAAUUACUGGGCGUAAAGGGCGCGUAGGCGGCCCGCUAAGUCGAACGUGAAAUCCCCAGGCUCAACCUGGGAACUGCGUCCGAUACUGGCAGGCUUGAAUCCGGGAGAGGGAUGUGGAAUUCCAGGUGUAGUGGUGAAAUGCGUAGAUAUCUGGAGGAACACCGGUGGCGAAGGCGGCAUCCUGGACCGGUAUUGACGCUGAGGCGCGAAAGCUAGGGGAGCAAACGGG